GAUGAACGCUAGCGGCAGGCCUAACACAUGCAAGUCGAGGGGUAACAGAGGUAGCUUGCUACUUGCUGACGACCGGCGCACGGGUGCGUAACGCGUAUACAAUCUGCCUAUCACUGAGGGAUAGCCCGAAGAAAUUUGGAUUAACACCUCAUGGUACUGCGCCACCGCAUGGUGAUGCAGUUAAAGGUUACGGUGAUAGAUGAGUAUGCGUCCUAUUAGCUAGAUGGUAAGGUAACGGCUUACCAUGGCUACGAUAGGUAGGGGUCCUGAGAGGGAGAUCCCCCACACUGGUACUGAGACACGGACCAG
rnacentral:rRNA from 1 species